AGUGCCCAGCCUUUCCUCUGCUGACCGCUCGGUGCUGAGCAGACCUGCUCUGCGAGCAGACGCACCUGGCAGGCUGCAGACCACAGGCUUUUGGGCAGUGGUCCGGCCUCUCUUUUCCUGGGCUGUAAAAUGGGAUUAUUUGUGAAGAGGAGUGAGCUGAGGUGUCGGGCAGGACCGGCCCUGACCAUCUCACCCCAACUCUGCGCCUGCUUCUCUGCUGACCCAUAGGCUGUGGGGAUGCUCCAGGCAGACCCUAUCCCACCCUGCAGAAAAGGCUUGUAGGGGACCGAGGGGCACUGUGAAGGCAGGGCCUGAGCCUGCACCCAAUUUACAGAGGGGGAAGUUCAGGCCCUAAUCUUCAGUGAGUCAGCCAGACUCAGUGGCUGAGAGCAAGUCUCUCCGGUCAUUUGUGUCACUAUCACAUUCCCAGGUGUCCUCCGCCUGGACUUCCCCAAAGUGUCCCCAGGCAGCACCUCUGAAGGCUUUGAGACUGUCAGGCUUGCAGUCAUCACAUCCCCAGUCCUUGCUCUGCUGCAUUCUGUGGCCAGAGCCCCAUCAACCAUGACCCUCCUCUGGGUCUAGAACUCCAACCGGUGUGGAGACCCGCCACCUGCAAUCCCAGCUCCUCAUCCAAGGUGUGUUUGGAACUCAGGCUUUUUUGUAUACUCAUACAUUAUGUGGCACCUCUUUGGGGCCUGGGACUGUU